AAAAAUUAAGACUAACUGAAAAAAAUUCGAACCACCUGAAAGUCGUCCGACCAAAGAUUAUGGUCGGAUGAGUCCGACAAAAUACGUUAUGUUAUUUUUAUCACCUAUUGAGCUUAAUUAGUCUUUUAUCUUAUGAUAGGUAUUCAGUUUGCGAGAUAAGAGAGUGCGAACCCAAAUAACAAGCAACCUAAGUAAAAGAUUAUACAAGAAAAGAAGAGAAGCCCAUCAAAAUGAAAAGAAAAAUAAAAGGAAGCCCAAUGCUUCCACAAUAACGCAACAAACAAAAGAAAGAGAAAAAAUGGGAGUAAACUCACCCCAGCUUCCCAGUUUCACGAGCAAAACCAAAGAAAGUGGAAUACUUUCUUUUCCAAGUCAACACAAUUCAGAGCAAGAAUCUCCAAUAUACGAAGGCAAACAGAGAUCAUAUCUUUUCACUACAAGUAAUUUCCAAAAAUUUGAUAAAUGGGGUUUUGUUCAAUUGGGUAUAAAAAUCUCUUAAUUUCUACAAGUUGGGGGGGGGAUAAGAAAUAGUUUAGGUUUAGUUUUUAAUUCAGUCUUUGUAGUGAAUCAAUCCGUCGAUGACAGCGACGACUAUCGACUACACUUGGUCUGAUUUUCUUUUUGUUCUUUGUUACCAAUUCAAUUUCAAGAUAUCUGGCGUUGAUGCUCAAUCCACCAUUCACUUUGUCCAUAUCAACUCUUCAUCAUCCACUAUGUGUUUGGUCCAGGAAGUUGCUUUCUCAUAUCUUAAUCUAGUAUUAGUUAAGGUUGUCUUAUUUUGUCACUAGUUGCAUAUGCACGCGAUGCGUGCGUCGAUAAUGGUAUAUACAAAUGGACAUGUUUUUUUUUUUAUCUAAAAUUCUUUUGGUAGUGAUGUAAAUUAUUGUGGUUUCUUUGUAAAUGCUAUUUCUUUGUAAAUUAAAGGUGAAUGAUUUUUAACUGUUCAAUAAUGUCAUCCAAAAAUUUGGUUGAUGAUUUAAUAA